ACAAGGGCUAUAGCUCAGUUAGGUAGAGCACCUCGUUUACACGUGCGCCAAUGU
rnacentral:tRNA from 4 species